ACAUGCAAGUCGAACGAACUCUGGUAUUGAUUGGUGCUUGCAUCAUGAUUUACAUUUGAGUGAGUGGCGAACUGGUGAGUAACACGUGGGAAACCUGCCCAGAAGCGGGGGAUAACACCUGGAAACAGAUGCUAAUACCGCAUAACAACUUGGACCGCAUGGUCCGAGUUUGAAAGAUGGCUUCGGCUAUCACUUUUGGAUGGUCCCGCGGCGUAUUAGCUAGAUGGUGAGGUAACGGCUCACCAUGGCAAUGAUACGUAGCCGACCUGAGAGGGUAAUCGGCCACAUUGGGACUGAGACACGGCCCAAACUCCUACGGGAGGCAGCAGUAGGGAAUCUUCCACAAUGGACGAAAGUCUGAUGGAGCAACGCCGCGUGAGUGAAGAAGGGUUUCGGCUCGUAAAACUCUGUUGUUAAAGAAGAACAUAUCUGAGAGUAACUGUUCAGGUAUUGACGGUAUUUAACCAGAAAGCCACGGCUAACUACGUGCCAGCAGCCGCGGUAAUACGUAGGUGGCAAGCGUUGUCCGGAUUUAUUGGGCGUAAAGCGAGCGCAGGCGGUUUUUUAAGUCUGAUGUGAAAGCCUUCGGCUCAACCGAAGAAGUGCAUCGGAAACUGGGAAACUUGAGUGCAGAAGAGGACAGUGGAACUCCAUGUGUAGCGGUGAAAUGCGUAGAUAUAUGGAAGAACACCAGUGGCGAAGGCGGCUGUCUGGUCUGUAACUGACGCUGAGGCUCGAAAGUAUGGGUAGCAAACAGGAUUAGAUACCCUGGUAGUCCAUACCGUAAACGAUGAAUGCUAAGUGUUGGAGGGUUUCCGCCCUUCAGUGCUGCAGCUAACGCAUUAAGCAUUCCGCCUGGGGAGUACGGCCGCAAGGCUGAAACUCAAAGGAAUUGACGGGGGCCCGCACAAGCGGUGGAGCAUGUGGUUUAAUUCGAAGCUACGCGAAGAACCUUACCAGGUCUUGACAUACUAUGCAAAUCUAAGAGAUUAGACGUUCCCUUCGGGGACAUGGAUACAGGUGGUGCAUGGUUGUCGUCAGCUCGUGUCGUGAGAUGUUGGGUUAAGUCCCGCAACGAGCGCAACCCUUAUUAUCAGUUGCCAGCAUUAAGUUGGGCACUCUGGUGAGACUGCCGGUGACAAACCGGAGGAAGGUGGGGAUGACGUCAAAUCAUCAUGCCCCUUAUGACCUGGGCUACACACGUGCUACAAUGGAUGGUACAACGAGUUGCGAACUCGCGAGAGUAAGCUAAUCUCUUAAAGCCAUUCUCAGUUCGGAUUGUAGGCUGCAACUCGCCUACAUGAAGUCGGAAUCGCUAGUAAUCGCGGAUCAGCAUGCCGCGGUGAAUACGUUCCCGGGCCUUGUACACACCGCCCGUCACACCAUGAGAGUUUGUAACACCCAAAGUCGGUGGGGUAACCUUUUAGGAACCAGC
rnacentral:rRNA from 1 species